rnacentral:tRNA from 1 species
UGGAUCACCUCCUAACAGGGAGACAACAAAAUGUUUAAUAUUAUUAUUUUGUCACCUUAGGUCGAUCGGUAUCUCACAUUCUUAAUUUAUUAAGAAUUUCAACUCCUAAGUUUUUCUAGGUCACACCCAUUAUUUUCCUGGGCCAUUAGCUCAGGUGGUUAGAGCGCACCCCUGAUAAGGGUGAGGUCCCUGGUUCAAGUCCAGGAUGGCCCAUAUCUCUAUGUUGGGGGUAUAGCUCAGUUGGUAGAGCGCCUGCUUUGCAAGCAGGAUGUCAGCGGUUCGAGUCCGCUUACCUCCACUGAAUACCACCUCUGCCAUAUUUUGUAAAAGGGAAAUUUUUUGAGUUGUGAUCAAAUUCUGAACGAUUCUAGCUUCCUAAUGAAAUCAUUAAGAUGCUGGACUCAUUGAAUUAAUUUCAUUGUUUUCAGAGAACCUUGACAACUGCAUAGAUUAUUUUUAAAGACAAUAAGCAUCUUUAAUGAUGCAGAUUUAUUAUUUGUGCGAAUGCAUUAAUAACAAUUCUAUUAAGCUGAUGCUUCAAUUUUGAAGUUAUUGGUCAAGCUACAAAGGGCUCACGGAGGAUACCUAGGCACACAGAGGCGAUGAAGG